rnacentral:tRNA from 1 species
GGAGAGGUGUGAGAGUGGUUUAAUCAGCACGCUUGGAAAGUGUGUGUACUGUUAAAGUACCCAGGGUUCGAAUCCCUGUCUCUCCGCCA